UUUAAUGUAAAACGUUGUACGAUACACGUGCGAAUAGGUAAUUCGCAACUCGUGUCGAUUUAAAAUACUCCCUGCGGUCGUGUUUUAAUUUAUCGCCACUCGUUUCGAAUUUCCUCUUUUCUGCACUUGUAUCGUAAAUAACUACUAGGUUUCUAAUAUAAUAUCUUACUAAACUGAAUAGUUUGUGCGAGAGACACUUCCAAAGUGGUAAAAUGUGUCGGCCCCCUGUAACUUCUAAAAUAAGAGAAUGACAAAACUAAAAAAAAUAUAUGAUGUACAUUACCAUGCAAACUUCGACCAAAAAUUGGUUUGAACGAGAUCUAGUAAGUAGUUUUUUUUUAAUACGUCGCAAAUCGUAAA